UUUCCCCAACAUCAAUUCAUAUUUGAUUUCUCAACAAAACUUUACAAAUUGUACCAUGUAUAAUAAUAAUAACAACUAAAUAGUUAGCAAUCCUGUGAUCAUCAGUCACCAUGCCCUCAACAAAAACACAGAAAUAUAUAAUAUCUUCAACAAUAUCACAAUCCAAUACUGAAACCUCUGAAGAGAAAGAGAUCUUUACUGAAAUCAUUAAUAUUCCCAGAACAUUGACCUUUACCGGGAACUUCAGCAUUCGAUGUUAAUGUCCUUGAAAAGAAAGUAGAACAUAGAUAGUGUUAGAACUGAGAAAAAAAAAAUGAAAGAAAUGAAUUGAAUAACCCGUAAAUGAGAAUAUUUUCAACCAAACUAAUUCGCUACAUUAUAUUCCAGGCCUAUGAUUUGUUGCAACACAGGCAAUUAUAGGCAAGGUUACAGAAAACUCGGUAUGGG
rnacentral:lncRNA from 1 species